rnacentral:pre_miRNA from 1 species
UACUGCAUCAGGAACUGACUGGAUAAGACUUAAUCCCCAUCAGUUCCUAAUGCAUUGCC